AACAGGAUUAGAUACCCUGGUAGUCCACGCCGUAAACGAUGUCGACUUGGAGGUUGUGCCCUUGAGGCGUGGCUUCCGGAGCUAACGCGUUAAGUCGACCGCCUGGGGAGUACGGCCGCAAGGUUAAAACUCAAAUGAAUUGACGGGGGCCCGCACAAGCGGUGGAGCAUGUGGUUUAAUUCGAUGCAACGCGAAGAACCUUACCUACUCUUGACAUCCAGAGAAUUCGCUAGAGAUAGCUUAGUGCCUUCGGGAACUCUGAGACAGGUGCUGCAUGGCUGUCGUCAGCUCGUGUUGUGAAAUGUUGGGUUAAGUCCCGCAACGAGCGCAACCCUUAUCCUUUGUUGCCAGCGCGUAAUGGCGGGAACUCAAAGGAGACUGCCGGUGAUAAACCGGAGGAAGGUGGGGAUGACGUCAAGUCAUCAUGGCCCUUACGAGUAGGGCUACACACGUGCUACAAUGGCGUAUACAAGGAGAAGCGAACUCGCGAGAGCAAGCGGACCUCAUAAAGUGCGUCGUAGUCCGGAUUGGAGUCUGCAACUCGACUCCAUGAAGUCGGAAUCGCUAGUAAUCGUAGAUCAGAAUGCUACGGUGAAUACGUUCCCGGGCCUUGUACACACCGCCCGUCACACCAUGGGAGUGGGUUGCAAAAGAAGUAGGUAGCUUAACCUUCGGGAGGGCGCUUACCACUUUGUGAUUCAUGACUGGGGUGAAGUCGUAACAAGGUAAGCCGU
rnacentral:rRNA from 1 species